rnacentral:lncRNA from 1 species
UUUUUUAGGUGGGUUUAUCUUGGAUAAAAAAUCUAGGGAAACCACAAUCCUCUCUUUUCUUUCAUCAACCCGAAAGCAAACCCAAUUAGAAUUACUCUCAAACAAAUGCAGACCACGCACAUCUUCGUUCCUCAACGAAUCUUGAUUCUCUAAAAAUGGGGUUAGAUGAUCUGAGCAACAAUCAAAGGUAUUCAAAAUAUUAUCUGAAUUGGUUCUUAUCUUCCAAUUAAAUUGGAUCUUCCAAUUAAAUUGGGGCUUCAAGUAUGGAUCUUAAAAUUGAUUUUUUUUCCUUUUUCUUUUAUAGUUGGCUUGGUUGCAAGAAUUGAAAACUCACCGUUCUCCUUCAAUCGGUGAGUGAAUCUACAUGCUUUCCCUAGUUAAAUCUCAAUUAUUUUGCUUACCUUUUCCAAACUUACUGUAACAUUCCUUUAAUUUUUGCAUUGUCAAUAUAUAUUGUUUGGCUAUUAGUGGGUUUUUAUUAUUUUCUCCCUCAUAACAGUUUUGUUUCAUUUGGGUCUUAUUAUUAUCAAUUGUCCAUUACUUUGUUCUCUUUAUUUUAUUUUUAAUUAACUGAAUUAUGAAGACAUGUCACUUGCCCAAUUUAUUUCACUAUGUCAAGUGCACUAUCCAAUUUGUGCUUGAUUAUGAAAAUUAAUUGAAUUAUUUUUACUAUAUAUAAGCAAGGAUUGAAAGUCCAUUCACCUAUACGGCUGGUGGGUUUUUAUUAUAUAUAUGCACAUGGAUAACAUGUUCCACAUUACCCGUGUAUCAUCACAUGCAUACAUUUGUUAUUGAUUGUUUGCUUAUCUAUUUUCUUUAUUUUAUUUUUAAUUGCAUAAUUACAAACCUUAUGAUGAAUAGAUAUGAACGAAAGACAAAUUUUGUUAUUCCUACUUAGAAACGAGUUUUGCAAACAGAAGUUGGUUGUCUGCAUUAUGAUAGUUGUUAUCUUGCACCAUAUAAUAACAAGCUUUCAUGAAAAAUAUGUGCUCAAGAAUCACACUUUUGCUAGGCAUCAAACUCGUCUUCAAACUCUAGAUGACAUGGUAGGCAAUGGUGAUAUAGAAUGUGUGAAUCAACUUAGGAUGGAUAUAAGAACUUUUGGGUUAUUAUAUGAACUACUUCGUAGUGAUGGGAGGUUGAAGAUGGAUAUUGUAGUUUCUAUUGAUAAGCAGGUUUGUAUGUUCGUACAUGUAGUUGCACAUCAUGUGAAAAAUCAAAUAAUUAAUAAUCGCUUCAAGCGUUCUGGAGAAACAAUUAGUAGAUUUUUUUAAUUCUAUUCUUAAUAGAGUAUUGCGACUACAACACAUCUUGCUAAAAUCUCUAGAACUUGUGUCUGAACAUUGCACAAAUGGUAGAUGGAAAAUUUUCAAGGUAUGUUGUACCUAAAUUUUAAGAUGUCAUUUACAAUUAUAAUAUGACCUUGUGUACUAGUGUUAUUCAACUUAAUAAUUUUUGUUGAUAUAGAACUAUUUGAGAGCAUUAGAUGGAACCUACAUCAAGGUUCGAGUACCUAAAAUUGAUAAACCAAGAUAUAGAACAAGAAAAUGUGAAAUUGUAACAAAUGUCUUGGGGGGUUUGUUCACAAGAUAUGAUGUUUAUAUUUGUGUUACCGGGGUGGGAGGGUUUAGCUUCUGAUUCUAGAGUACUUCGAGAUACGAUAUCUAGGUAAAAUGGAUUAAAAGUUCCAACUGAUAAGACUAUUUUAAUAGAUUUAGAAUAGUCAGCCUUAAACUAAUUAAAUUUUUCUUAAUCCUAUUUUACCUUCUCAAUGUCUAGGUUGUUAUUAACUUGUGGAUGCUGGGUACACAAAUGGUGAAUGAUUUUUAGCACCAUAUAGAGGAACAAGUGAUAACUCUAUGAAAUUAGAGUUAUUAUGGCAAUUCUAGACUUAAAUCAAGACCACUUUGAGAGUAAAUGAUGUGUUUUUAUUAUAUUUUGGUUAUGUUUUGCAUAAACAUCCAUUUUAGCUUAGUCUUAAUAAGUUUUGCUUGAUUUAAAGUAAUUUGUACUCAAAACAUGUGCAUAAUUGUAGGUUUUUAGAAGUUUAUAAUCCAUGAAGCGAUGCUGAGAUAUGAGGCUAGCAAGAAGAAGAAAGAAUAUGGCCACAAAAGAAGUGAAACACAACAGGGAACAGUGCAGUGUUAUAGCUGUUGCUGGAGCAACCAUUGCUGUAGCAAUCUUAGAACAACGAGGGAGAAAACUUAGCGCGGGUUAGCUGCAGAAUUGCGAUCUGCAGUUUCCUAAUUCGACUCAUAUACGCCAUAGGCUUUUGUUUACCCUAGUUUUCAGUUAUAAAAAGGGACGUGCAUCACAUAAAACGGCGGCAAGAAAUUAUCAUUGGAAAAGAACAAGAGAAAAAGAAGAAGAAGAUCAUAAUUGAAGGGAACCGAUGCAGCAUCAUUAAAGAAUCCAUCAGAGAUAUUUGGAUUCACUUUUUGUCGUUCUCCACUUAUUUUUUCCUUCACUCUUUGAUUGAACCGAUGUAUUUCGUGACCAAUAUGUUGAUGUUUGUUUUUCUCUUUCAAAACAUGAACUAAACUUGCUUGUAGUUGAGUGACAAACAAUCUAAUGAGUUCUUGACUGUUCUUAUGAGUUGCUAUAUAAUUGCUAUAGCAUUUUACUCUAGUAGCUAUUAUUAUAAUUGUUAUUUCGGUUGACCACCCAUUUAAUGGUUCGAGUUAAGAUAGAGCCGCAAAAUGGC